UACGUAGGGGCCUAGCGUUGUCCGGAUUUAUUGGGCGUAAAGAGCUCGUAGGCGGCGCGGUAAGUCGGGUGUGAAAUCUCGGAGCUUAACUCCGAAACUGCAUUCGAUACUGCCGUGCUUGAGGACUGGAGAGGAGACUGGAAUUUACGGUGUAGCGGUGAAAUGCGUAGAUAUCGUAAGGAAGACCAGUGACGAAGGCGGGUCUCUGGACAGUUCCUGACGCUGAGGCACGAAGGUCAGGGGAGCAAACGGG
rnacentral:rRNA from 1 species